ACUGCUCAGUAACACGUAGUUAACCUACCCUUCGGACGUGGACAACCCCGAGAAAUUGGGGCUAAUCCGCGAUAGAUGUGAUGUCCUGGAAUGGUAUUACGUCUAAAGGUAUCUCAUACAUGUUUGAUAUACGCCUAAGGAUGGGACUGCGGCUGAUCAGGCAGUUGGUGAGGUAAUGGCUCACCAAACCAUUGACCAGUACGGGCCAUGAGAGUGGUAGCCCGGAGAUGGACACUGAGACAAGGGUCCAGGCCCUACGGGGCGCAGCAGGCGCGAAACCUCCUCAAUGCACUAACGUGCGAAGGGGUUACCUCGAGUGCUAUCUGAUGAAGGUAGCUUUUCCUUGGUCUAAAAAGCCUAGGGAAUAAGAGGGGGGCAAGACUGGUGUCAGCCGCCGCGGUAACACCAGCCCCUCGAGUGGUGGGGAUGAUUAUUUGGCCUAAAGCGUCCGUAGCCUGCCGGAUAAGUUUCCCGUUAAAUCCAACGUCUCAAGCGUUGGGCUGCGGGAAAUACUGUCUGGCUAGAGAGUGGGAAAGGUUAGCGGUAUUCUGGGGGUAGGGGCGAAAUCCUUUGAUCCCCGGAGGACCACCAGUGGCGAAGGCUGCUGACUAGAACACGUCUGACGGUCAGGGACGAAAGCUGGGGUAGCGAACCGGAUUAGAUACCCGGGUAGUCCCAGCCGUAAACGAUGCAUGCUAGGUGUUGGGUUGGCCACGAGCCACCCCAGUGCCGCAGGGAAGCCGUUAAGCAUGCCGCCUGGGAAGUACGGUCGCAAGAUUGAAACUUAAAGGAAUUGGCGGGGGAGCACCACCAGGCGUGAAGCCUGCGGUUUAAUUGGAUUCAACGCCGGG
rnacentral:rRNA from 1 species